GGUUAUAGCUCAGUGGUAGAGUGCAUGCCUAGCAUGUGUGAGGCCCUGAGUUCACUUCUCAGCACCA
rnacentral:tRNA from 1 species